rnacentral:rRNA from 1 species
AGAUUGAACGCUAGCGGGAUGCUUUACACAUGCAAGUCGGACGGCAGCGCGGACUUCGGUCUGGCGGCGAGUGGCGAACGGGUGAGUAAUAUAUCGGAACGUGCCCAGUAGCGGGGGAUAACUACGCGAAAGCGUGGCUAAUACCGCAUACGCCCUACGGGGGAAAGGGGGGGAUCGCAAGACCUCUCACUAUUGGAGCGGCCGAUAUCAGAUUAGCUAGUUGGUGAGGUAAAGGCUCACCAAGGCGACGAUCUGUAGCUGGUUUGAGAGGACGACCAGCCACACUGGGACUGAGACACGGCCCAGACUCCUACGGGAGGCAGCAGUGGGAAUUUUGGACAAGUGGGGG